AAAGACAGCGCAGCCAUUGUGCUGAAUCUGAAAAAUCACUUUGUCUGCAGAGAAAUGUAGUGAUAGGAAAAGGGACAAUGGCUUCAAGGGUACCUUUGGAUUAGCAUUAGGAGGAAAUUCCAUACUGUGAGGGUGUCUGUGGAUGCCCCAUCCUGGAAAUGUUCCAGAACAGGUUAGAGGGGGCUCUGAGCAAAAGAUGUCCCUGCUCAUGGCAGAGGAUCUUUAAGGUUUCUUCCAACCAAAACCAUUCUAUGAAAAACAAAUUUAGUUAGAAAACACUGUUUAUCUCUCUUCUGAGAGUUACAGUUCAGGUAUCUGAUCUAGUUGAAGAUGGCCCUGCUUAUUGAAGGGGGAUUGAACUAGAUGAGCUUUAAAUGUCCCAGGUCAAACUAUCCUGUGAGACCUCUUAUUCCUAUACUUGAUUCCCAAUUACACCAAUUUUCUAAUCUCCAUUCCCAAGGCCAGAGUGCAUCACAGGAAAUACAAGGCAAACAGCAGGUCUGGGCUAUUGAAACAUUUAAGAAAGAAAAUCACCAACUUCAAGCAAUCUAUAUAACUUUUCACCUAAAACUUUGCAUUUUUGCCCAAACUUCCAAUGGAUUAGGGAAGAUGUUUCUGAGCUACUCUGUAAUGCACUGCAGAAAGAGCUCAUUUUCAGAAUAAGUGCAAUAGUUGAAAUGUUUAAACAUUUGAAGUGACCAAGAGAAGUAGGUGGCAAAGAAAUUGUCUUUAGAAAAGCGUUGUGACCAUGAGUAAAUCUAAACAUACAAGUUAUACCUCCUUGACUUCCUGCUGUACAUACAUAUAUUUCUCUAUACACUCAAAUAUAACACAUGCACACAAUUUGAAGUCAAUACACUGUGAUUGUUCUGUGCUAGUUUGAUUUUUCUCUGCGUAGAGCAUCUGAGAGAGGUGUCUCACAAAAGUUGCUUGAGUGGCUUGUUACCCAAGCAACCAUGAGAGGCCAGAACAUUCAGCACCUCUGAAAUGGUUUGGGUGUCUAAUUUUGACUGCUUUUUCCUGAAUUAGACCAGAACUGACUUGAACAAGUGGCUGAUUUUGUUGUAUCCAUCAGAUAUCAACCAUAUGAUCCAUGCUUAACACAGCUUGUGCAACACAUGGGAGUGUUCCUAUCAGCAGCAGCAUCUGACUAACGAGACUGUUGCUCUUCUUUUUCUGUUAAUAUUUUGGUUCUUUCUUGGACUCUUUCCUCUGUCUCAUUCAAAAUGUUGGGAUUUCACAUUAAUUAAAUUGCAAUCACUCAUGGUAUUGUCCUGGUUUCCACUGGGAUAAAGUUAAUUUUAUUUUUAGUAGCUAGUACAACACUGUUUUGGAUUUUGUAGCUAAGUAGUGUUUUCUCUUAUUAAAGGACUACUCAGGUUCCCAUGCUCUGCCAGUGAAUAGGUACACAAGCUGGGAGGGAGCAUGGCCAGGACAGCUGGCCCAACCUGACCAGAGGGAUAUUCUUAUAUCAUAGAUUGUCAUGCUCAGUAUAUAAACUGGGGAGAAUUGGCUGGAGGCUGCCAGUCACUGCUCGGGGACAGGCUGGACCUCAGUCAGAAGGUGAUAAGUAACUGUAGCCAUCUCUUGGGUCUUAUCUCCCUGUCUCUCUCUCUCUCUCUCCUUUUCCUCUCCUUGGCUUAUCUCAGUCCAAAAGCAAUAAAAAAAUUAAAUUAGUAAUUCCUAUGUAACUAUUUUUAAAAGGACACAGAGAUGCCCGGCUGGGGGGGAAUUAAGUAUCUGCAAACAGCAGAGAUCAAUGUGGUAAAGGUGUUCUGAGGUGUAGGUAGCUUUGGUACUUAAGGUUUACAUAGAUGUUGCCAAACGCCCUAAUGUAUGACAAAGAAUAUAAUUUGCCAUACAUGUUACUAUGCUCAUCAACCCUUUAAAAACAAAAAAAAAAAAACAACUCCUGUGAGAUUAAUGAAAGUUGCUUGCAUUCUUUUAUUUUAAUACUGGAUUUUUAGUAGGAAAGAAUCUGUCCCUAGUUCCAAAAUGAUCAAUACCACAGACAAACUCCAAAGGAUUACAGUGGCCUCAGAAAUGCUGAAAUGGAUGAAAUGGACAGAUUUUAUUUUGUGCCAGUUAUAGAGACUUCUUUCUUUAUAUGACUCUAAAGCAUUUUGCAAAAAAGAAAAAAAGACUGUCAGAUGCCAUCAAUAAACAGCCUAAACUAUUGAUGGAAUCCUGUAACAGAUACUGAAGUGGGCCUUAGGAGCUGCACCUAAUUCAGAAAAAAAAUUACCAAGUGUGGAAGCCAGCAUAGCUAAAACACCAGAGAAUUCUAUGCAGUAGAUGAAGGCCUUGAGGUUAAAUAGUUACUCAGAUGGGAAAGCAUACAGGCUCCUUUACAUCAGAAGACAACACAAAACCAAUUUAAAGCCUGGAGCUAUGAUUCCUUUCCUAUUUGAAGACUUGCAUUAUCUCACAUUAGGCUUAGGAGAGGGGAAUACUCUCUGUCCAUAUGCACCGUAUUCCUUAUGACCCCUGUGCUCAAGUGAGAGCCUUGUAUAAAAGCCAUUAGCAUCAAGUUUGUUAUGCCAUGCUGCACUGGAUGACUUUUUUGGUGCCAGGGGGAAGGUUGUUGCAUUUUAGCUGAGAAUUUCAGAGCACGACUUGUAUUUGGAUACACAACUCCCUAUUCUUUUGAUUGAAAACAUAUAGCUUUUUUAAACAGUCCAUCUUUUGCUCUUCUCAUAUAUAAUGGAGGCUGCUGCAAAGUGAGCUAAAGAGCAAAAGCAAGAUCUGUAUUUUUAAAAAUUACUAAUAAUCAGGGGUACUGUUAUCUUUGGCAAAGAAAUUUUAAUGACAUUAAUAGGAUCUUGCAAGUCAGUAAGCACAUUCCCUAAUCCCAGUCCACCUAGCACCUGACUACUUCCCACAGGACUGUAGGAGGGAUUUAUUAAACAAGAAGAGACACAAGGGACUCAGGGUCAUAGAAAACAGGUUGUAGGAAAUGUACUGCAGAGCUCACCAGCCAGCUAGGGAGACUAGCAAACCUUUAAUGCUAAACACCUCUUCUAAGCACAUGUGGAAAAUAAGUGGUGGGCAGUGUUCACAGCAGAUUCCAGAUGAUUCUGUGCUAGAAUGUUUGAGUUUUUUCUUAAAUGGCCAGCCUUAAAACAGUGUCUCCAUUAUGUGCCAUGUUGGGAAUCACAUUGCUUUGCUGGACAGAAUUUGCUCUAUAUUUCUUAAGGUUGUUUUAUACCCAAAACCCUGCAGGUUUGGCAUCCUGAAAUGGGACCAGCUCUGUAUUCACAUCUGCAAGCUGUGGACUCUGCUGCUGUCACACAGCCUUCAGAACUGCUGAAGGUGGUGGAUUUUUCAACUCCAGCUUCGGCUUAGCCUGGCAGCGAACCAGACCAUGGAGAUGCUCUGUCAGGAUACACAUUAAAGACAUGAGUUGAAGACACCAAAAAGCAGAAAAAAAUGCACUAAGAUCCCUAUCUCUAGUACCACUCACAGACAAAUAUUACUUCUAAAUCUAAGCCAAGAGUGAAGCUGGUAUGGGAGAAGCAGCAUUGUUAGAGGAAGGAAUUUAGCAAUGUCACCUUCAGGUAAGACCUGCAGUAUCUAUCUAGCUGGAACUCCUAUCUGUAAGUUGUUAGUUUCUUUUGUUUUUAAUAUAUACUACAUUUUGUAAAGCUUUAUCAGAUUAAUCUUCCACCAAAAAAAAAAAAAAAAAAGGCAUUUAUCCUCACAACUUGGCUGGGGUUUGUUCAGUUUUCAGAGGUUCUAAGAGGAGAUGGAGAACAGCACAAAACUGCACAAUCAUUGAGCCAAAUGUAAAUAAUUCUGCGAUCCUUCUUGCUAAGCUGUCCCCUGAAUGAGUGUGUCAGGUAUAAUGGUGUAAUAGGUGUUUUUUUUCCCACCACAACUUCACAUCACACCUCACAUGUGGUUACAGAGGUCACUGUUGAAAGAUUCUCUGAUUCCUGACAUGGAUUCAGUAGUCUGAGUAUAGGUUAGGACAGCUGAUGCUACAGUAAACAAACCAUCAUGUUUGAAACAGCCAAAUGCUGUAAAUAUGUGGCGUUACUGAGACAGGAUUAUAACCCUUUCAGGCCCUCAGUGUGCACUCAGCCUUCUGGCACCAAAAGCUGAAGUAAUAUUAGCAGAAGUCAUGCUUCAAGAACACUAAUUAUGUCUUGAGAAUGAAGAUAUGAAAGAGAAUGACCUGCCAUGAAGUCCCUAGCUACCUUACUAAUUGAGGUAGCAAAGCAUCUGAAUCUUUAUUGUUUAGAACUUGUUUGCUUAAUUAUUAAUUUGAACAUUCAGGCUUUUUGUGUAAGAUACUCGCAGGUGACCAAGCAUAGUGCUGGCUAUCCUCUGUAGCAGUAAGGCCAGCAGGAAUAGGUGAUUCAUGAGUAGACCAGAAGGACUUUCAGGUUUCACUGAGGAAGUCUCAGAUGGCAACAUCCAGGUGGCCAAUAUGGAAAUGGUCAUUUCUCUUCUCAGUCUGAACUUUGGAACUACACAACCCAUCUACAGGGGAUGGCUUUAUCAUUUAUUAUUAUGGUUUACUGUAUCAUCAAAUAAACACCAAAAAAAUCCCAGAGAGACUGUAGGCUCCAGACAAACUUCUCUGGUGUAGCAUAGCAACAUGAAGUACUGUGCUGAAGACUGUGGGAAGUCCUGUAAGAAACAGACAUUACACAAAACUGCUUGUGGCAGAAUUUGGACAGUAAAAUCCUCAAAUGAGGCAUUAAAGCUGCCUUUUCCUUUCUUUUGUUCUCAUUCAUGUAUUACAUGUAAAUGACACUUUUUUGGCAUGUUUUUUACAUUAUUUUAAAACAUUCCUGUUCCAGCCACCUCACCUGAAAUUGUCCUGAGCAGGUGCUCAUCAGAAAGAAGUUGGUUACAUUGAUGUUUUUCUUGUGGUUGCAUAAUUAUUGAGAGAACUGACAACAUUUUAACCCUUACAUGGAGUGCCUUCUACUGAAACAGUCUGAAGGGUGGUUCUUACCAUCUCUGAUGUGACUCAACAGGCUGAAGAAUGGCUUUACCUUUCUGCGCAAUCUCUCACUCCCUUAUUUUAAAAAUCUUUUUCUCUCUCUGUUUUCUUUCAUUCCUGCCCUCCCAGGUUUGAUCUGACUGUGAGUCUGAAGAGCCACAUGGUGGUUUGUGCUGGGACAGCACCAUGCCUUUCACAUCUCAUCUACUACUACAUGAACUCCGGCUCCACAGGAACUUGCAAAAUGAACCCCACCAUAAGAAGGUAUCUCUCAGUUGACAUUGUACAAGUUCAUCUGUAUUGCACCAGCUGUUUUCCCUCAGCUCCCAAGAUGAUCAAACUAAUGAACUGUAGCAUGAGGUUAUGUGGAAUCUCCCAGGCCACACCAGCUCAUGCACUUUGCUGGGGACAAAGCCUGCCAUUUUCUUUGCAGACUGAAGAAGUCUCCAGCACUGGUGUCCUUGAAACAUUUUUCUAUUGGGCUGAUUCUGAACAAGUAGCUCCUGUAGCCACAGACAUCCUUGUGCUCAAAGGUGAGGAUUGUUUCUGUUGCUGCCCAAGCCAGGAAGCAGAACUUUAUAGUUGCAGUUGUCUUGGCCAAUGCUCCCCACCACCACCACCAGUGGUGUGGCAAAAUGAGAGAGGACAAGAACCACUCCCAGUCCUGAUCCACAGCACCAAGUGAUUUGUUUCUGACCUGUUUUCACGUUAUCCUCAAGAGGAGUUGCAGAGAUGUCCAUUACAACCUUAACAUGUAGGCUGCAGGUACAGUAUAGAGAAAGCUCCAUCACCUUGUGGUACUAACAAGAGGUAGGAAAAAAAAAAAAACCACAAAAAAACCAAACAAACAAACAAACAAAAAAAAACAUGAACAGAUGCUUCUAAUGAUACAACCCUUUAUCCAAAAAAGGCCAUGGGCGCAAUCCAAAAUCUUUCCACUGAAAUGGAGCAAGACUCCCUAGUCAGAAAAUACUUUCCCCCUCCUUCAUUGUGUUUCCCAACUCCCUCCCUCACAUUAGCUGAACCAAGCCUAGAAGCAGCAUGGCUCAGAGCCAAGGAAUAGGAAUCGUACUGCUGGGGCUUUGUUUACUCUGUUCAGUGUGGAGGGAAAGGGUGAAGCAGUUACUGCUCCAGACACUCCCAGUGCUACCUUGUUUUUCAUGUCAUUAUUUCAACAGGAAAAUCUCUGUAACAGCACUGACACAACAGUGUCUGUCCCCUCAGCAGUCUGGUGACAUCAUUUCCACUGCCAGUGGGUCUGUGCCAGCCAAGUGGCGGCAGGCUGGGUCCUUAGAGAGACUCCUGUUGCUGUAAUGAUCUGCUGGGGUUACAGACCUAUGCAGUUGUCUUCCUUUCAGAGAAUGCUUUUCAAAUGUAACAGCCUUAUUUUUUCAUCAGAAGGUAAUUAUACAGUACAAAUUGGUCCUCAGGUUGCUCAGGGUAGAAGAAAUGAAGGAAGGAAGUACUUUUCUAGAUAUACAGCGACUUUGGAA